CUAAUACAUGCAAGUCGAACGAACCGACGAAAGAGCUUGCUCUUUCUGACGUUAGUGGCGGACGGGUGAGUAACACGUGGGCAACCUGCCUGUAAGUUGGGGAUAACUCCGGGAAACCGGGGCUAAUACCGAAUAAUAACAAGCGUCGCAUGACGCCUGUUUGAAAGAUGGUUUCGGCUAUCACUUACAGAUGGGCCCGCGGUGCAUUAGCUAGUUGGUAGGGUAAUGGCCUACCAAGGCAACGAUGCAUAGCCGACCUGAGAGGGUGAUCGGCCACACUGGGACUGAGACACGGCCCAGACUCCUACGGGAGGCAGCAGUAGGGAAUCUUCCGCAAUGGACGAAAGUCUGACGGAGCAACGCCGCGUGUGUGAAGAAGGUUUUCGGAUCGUAAAGCACUGUUGUUAGAGAAGAACAAGGAUAAGAGUAACUGCUUGUCCCUUGACGGUAUCUAACCAGAAAGCCACGGCUAACUACGUGCCAGCAGCCGCGGUAAUACGUAGGUGGCAAGCGUUGUCCGGAUUUAUUGGGCGUAAAGCGAGCGCAGGCGGUUUCUUAAGUCUGAUGUGAAAGCCCCCGGCUUAACCGGGGAGGGUCAUUGGAAACUGAGAGACUUGAAUGCAGGAGAGGUAAGUGGAAUUCCACGUGUAGCGGUGAAAUGCGUAGAUAUGUGGAGGAACACCAGUGGCGAAGGCGGCUUACUGGCCUGUAAUUGACGCUGAGGCUCGAAAGCGUGGGGAGCAAACAGGAUUAGAUACCCUGGUAGUCCACGCCGUWAACGAUGAGUGCUAAGUGUUAGGGGGUUUCCGCCCCUUAGUGCUGCAGCUAACGCAUUAAGCACUCCGCCUGGGGAGUACGACCGCAAGGUUGAAACUCAAAGGAAUUGACGGGGGCCCGCACAAGUGGUGGAGCAUGUGGUUUAAUUCGAAGCAACGCGAAGAACCUUACCAGGUCUUGACAUCCUUUGACCAUUCUGGAGACAGAACUUUCCCUUCGGGGACAAAGUGACAGGUGGUGCAUGGUUGUCGUCAGCUCGUGUCGUGAGAUGUUGGGUUAAGUCCCGCAACGAGCGCAACCCUUGAUUUUAGUUGCCAGCAUUUAGUUGGGCACUCUAAAGUGACUGCCGGUGCAAGCCGGAGGAAGGUGGGGAUGACGUCAAAUCAUCAUG
rnacentral:rRNA from 2 species